rnacentral:rRNA from 1 species
CGGGAUGGGUGAGUAACGCGUGGGUAACCUGCCCUUAAGUCUGGGAUACCAUUUGGAAACAGAUGCUAAUACCGAUAAAAGCUACUUUCGCAUGAAAGAAGUUUAAAAGGCGGCGUAAGCUGUCGCUAAAGGAUGGACCUGCGAUGCAUUAGCUAGUUGGUAAGGUAACGGCUUACCAAGGCGAUGAUGCAUAGCCGAGUUUAGAGACUUAUCGGCCACAUUGGGACUGAGACACGGCCCAAACUCCUACGGGAGGCAGCAGCG